UCCCACUUCCUAUAAAGUUGACCUCUAAUAUGAAUGUGAACAACAAUUUCUCUACAAACCCUACCAUUCUGGUAACUACCUUGUUGGAAUCUGAUAAGGUUUCUCUCUUUCCAUAUUAUGUUGACCAUCAUUGAGAAAGCAUUACAAAUUAGAGCACCUCAAUUAGUUCUUCCUCUAGCUUGCUAUGCUACCCAUUCCACUUCUUGCAUCCAGCUUCUA
rnacentral:lncRNA from 1 species